UCUCCGUAGGUGAACCUGCGGAGGGAUCACUACAGGCUUGCAAAAGCUCUGAAACCACUGUUUAUCUACCUGAAUCUGCUUCGACGGGGCGCCCCAGUGGGGGGCCGUAGCCGCAGCGCGCCCUCCGAAGACCACUAAACUCUGUCGCCUUGGGAACCUCUGAGUAAAUAUCUUAAACAAAAACAACUUUCAACAACGGAUCUCUUGGCUCUG
rnacentral:misc_RNA from 1 species